rnacentral:misc_RNA from 1 species
AACCUAGCACACCUGCGGUGUGUACCUGCGGAAGGAUCAUUACCGAGUUUACAACUCCCAAACCCCUGUGAACAUACCAAUUGUUGCCUCGGCGGAUCAGCCCGCUCCCGGUAAAACGGGACGGCCCGCCAGAGGACCCCUAAACUCUGUUUCUAUAUGUAACUUCUGAGUAAAACCAUAAAUAAAUCAAAACUUUUAGCAACGGAUCU